GAGGGCAUAGCUCAGUGAGAGUAUGCGCCUAGCAUGCACAAGGUCCUGGGUUCAAUCCCCAGUACCUCCA
rnacentral:tRNA from 1 species